CCCCGCGGCCGCUUGGUGUCGCUCCGUGGAGGCUGGAAAGGAAGAGUUGAUUGAGUUUGACGGGAGAGAGUUUGGCUCCGGGCUCUAAGCUGCCAGAGAGAGGCGAACCAAUCCAGUGUACGGCAAUCAGCAGCUCAACAGCUUCCAAUCAUUUUCAUUGCAUGGAAAAGAGACGUGCAAAUCUCCUUCACGCAACACAGAAAGUCAUACGGGUUUGGCACAAUAUGAGGAUCCCUGAACCGCAAGGAAGCAGUUCGUUCCUGGAUGCCACAUGGGCUGGAGAGUGGGGUGUUCGUGAGGCCAAUCUUUGGGGUUCGCUGUGCCAAAACCCAAUGCACUCUCUGACCGCAGUGUACCGGGACCCUCAAAGCGGAAACCGUGAUAUGGACCAUUCGAGCGGCCUACAAAAACAUCUUCAACAAACAUUCUGUCCAAUCUGUCAGACACAGCCCUGCACUUAUAACCCUGGUGAAGCUCACUCACCUCGCGCUCAUUGUGUAAAUACGACACGGCUGAGGUUUCCAUGAAGAAUUUGGUUAGAAAAGCUAAACGUACUGUAUAUAAACAACCAGGCAGUGUGUGUGUGUGUGUGUGAGAGAGAGAGAGAGUGACUUACCAAUGCAGGUCUUGCUGUCCGAAUGCAGGGCAUAUUUCUGAUGACAUCCACACACA